rnacentral:rRNA from 1 species
AGUGAACGCUGGCGGUAGGCCUAACACAUGCAAGUCGAACGGCAGCACAGUAAGAGCUUGCUCUUACGGGUGGCGAGUGGCGGACGGGUGAGGAAUACAUCGGAAUCUACUUUUUCGUGGGGGAUAACGUAGGGAAACUUACGCUAAUACCGCAUACGACCUACGGGUGAAAGUAGGGGAUCUUCGGACCUUGCGCGAUUGAAUGAGCCGAUGUCGGAUUAGCUAGUUGGCGGGGUAAAGGCCCACCAAGGCGACGAUCCGUAGCUGGUCUGAGAGGAUGAUCAGCCACACUGGAACUGAGACACGGUCCAGACUCCUACGGGAGGCAGCAGUGGGGAAUAUUGGACAAUGGGCGCAAGCCUGAUCCAGCCACACCGCGUGGGUGAAGAAGGCCUUCGGGUUGUAAAGCCCUUUUGUUGGGAAAGAAAAGCAGCAGGUUAAUACCCCGCUGUUCUGACGGUACCCAAAGAAUAAGCACCGGCUAACUUCGUG